GAUGAAGAACGUAGCGAAAUGCGAUACGUAAUGUGAAUUGCAGAAUUCAGUGAAUCAUCGAGUCUUUGAACGCACAUUGCGCCCCCUGGUAUUCCGGGGGGCAUGCCUGUCCGAGCGUCAUUGCUGCCCUCAAGCACGGCUUGUGUGUUGGGCCUCCGUCCUCCUCCCGGGGGACGGGCCCGAAAGGCAGCGGCGGCACCGCGUCCGGUCCUCGAGCGUAUGGGGCUUCGUCACCCGCUCUUGUAGGCCCGGCCGGCGCUUGCCGACACAUCAAUCUUUUUUCCAGGUUAACCUCGGAUCAGGUAGGGAUACCCGCUGAACUUAAGCAUAUCAAUAAGCGGAGGA
rnacentral:misc_RNA from 1 species